rnacentral:tRNA from 1 species
GGAGAGAUGGCUGAGCUGGUCGAAGGCGCUCGCCUGGAAAGCGAGUAGGCGGAGCAAAACUCCGCCUCGGGGGUUCGAAUCCCCCUCUCUCCGCCA